ensembl:lncRNA
GGACCGGGGCGGGGCUCGGGGGGGACGCCCCCGCACCUGCUCGGCAGGUGAGCAGCGCGUUGUGGCAGCAUGGUAGCAGCUUCCUUUAGAACGAGAGCAGGCGUUGCCGCCAGUUUCCGCUGCUCCUGAUGCCUGUCCUGCUUCCCUGGUGCUGGUCCUGAGCGAGUCCAGCCCUCCAGCACGCUUUUCCCGCUAGAAGGCUCAGAUGUUCUGGGAUGCUGCCUUAUCUCUGGUACAACAACAAUAUUACCGUAGAGAGGGGGAGAAGAGGAGGAUGGAAAAAGAACUUUUCCCUCUAAUGAUGCGUUAGUUUCAGUAUGUUGAUUCCAGUUUUCCCUCCCGCUAACUCUCCCUCAUUUUCCUACCCGCUGUAGCAUUGUGCUGUUUGCGUUGUAGCUUGUACCUAACAGCGCAGCCUGGGGUAGGUGCUUGCUCGCGUGCUCAUGUGGAAUCUAUUUAAGACCCUUUGUGGGGCCUCAUUCCAAACUAUGUGCCCUUCAACCUAAACUCUGUAGCAGGAGUGAGUUUUUGAGAGAGCCAUUUAGAUUCUCGUAACACAUGGGAAAUUUUGGCAGCAUUGCAAGUUGAGUGAAAAAAAGCUGGGGUUGUGUUGCUAUGUAAGGUACAGAAAGGGUUUGUGUGUACUUUGUCAUCUUUUUUUUGUGUGUGUGUGUGUCGUACCUUGUGCUGAUAAGGAAACUGAAGUUAGCAGAGCGGAGAUAUGUGGUAAAUGCAGUUUGCUGGCUAAGCCAGGAGGCUUGGACUCGGAUUCUGGAGGAUGAGGGUCUGUGCUCUCCGGUACGUGAGGAUGAAUGGUCCCGAGGCGGCUCCCGGCGGGGGAAGCCGUGCUGCGGAGCGCUCUCCGGGCGGCGCCAGCCUCCCAGAAUGUCCCCUACCCUUAAACUUAGUUACCUCCUGGAUGCAAGGACUCUGCAGAUUUCAUCAGUGGUUUUCAGAAUAGGCAAAAGUAUUAACAACCAAGCAUUUCCUUAGUUGGAGUUUUCACUAUCAGUGCAUUGGACACCUGCUUUCAGGAGCUCAAACCACUACUCAGGUAUCAGAUUUUGUCUAACAUUAAGCCUUUAGGCCUUCCUCUAGUCCUCUUCUCUCAACUUUUG